rnacentral:rRNA from 1 species
GAUGAACGCUGGCGGCGUGCCUAAUACAUGCAAGUCGAGCGAACAGAUGAGGAGCUUGCUCCUCUGACGUUAGCGGCGGACGGGUGAGUAACACGUGGAUAACCUACCUAUAAGACUGGGAUAACUUCGGGAAACCGGAGCUAAUACCGGAUAAUAUAUUGAACCGCAUGGUUCAAUAGUGAAAGACGGUUUUGCUGUCACUUAUAGAUGGAUCCGCGCCGCAUUAGCUAGUUGGUAAGGUAACGGCUUACCAAGGCAACGAUGCGUAGCCGACCUGAGAGGGUGAUCGGCCACACUGGAACUGAGACACGGUCCAGACUCCUACGGGAGGCAGCAGUAGGGAAUCUUGCGCAAUGGGCGAAAGCUUGACGGAGCAACGCCGCGUGAGUGAUGAAGGUCAUCGGAUCGUAAAACUCUGUUAUUAGGGAAGAACAAAUGUGUAAGUAAAUAUGCACGUCUUGACGGUACCUAAUCAGAAAGCCACGGCUAACUACGUG